rnacentral:rRNA from 1 species
UACGGGGGGAGCAAGCGUUGUUCGGAUUUACUGGGCGUAAAGGGCGCGUAGGCGGCCACCGCAAGUCGACUGUGAAAUCUCCGGGCUUAACCCGGAAAGGUCAGCCGAUACUGCGGGGCUAGAGUGCAGAAGAGGCGAGUGGAAUUCCCGGUGUAGCGGUGAAAUGCGCAGAUAUCGGGAGGAACACCAAUGGCGAAGGCAGCUCGCUGGGACGUGACUGACGCUGAGACGCGAAAGCGUGGGGAGCAAACAGG